UACGGGAGGCAGCAGUGGGGAAUAUUGCACAAUGGGCGCAAGCCUGAUGCAGCCAUGCCGCGUGUAUGAAGAAGGCCUUCGGGUUGUAAAGUACUUUCAGUCGUGAGGAAGGUGUUAAGGUUAAUAACCUUAGCAAUUGACGUUAGCGACAGAAGAAGCACCGGCUAACUCCGUGCCAGCAGCCGCGGUAAUACGGAGGGUGCGAGCGUUAAUCGGAAUUACUGGGCGUAAAGGGCACGCAGGCGGUUAAUUAAGUUGGAUGUGAAUCCCCGGGCUUAACCUGGGAAUGGCAUUCAAGACUGGUUAGCUAGAGUCUUGUAGAGGGGGUAGAAUUCCAUGUGUAGCGGUGAAAUGCGUAGAGAUGUGGAGGAAUACCGGUGGCGAAGGCGGCCCCUGGGACAAGACUGACGCUCAUGUGCGAAAGCGUGGGGAGCAAACAGGAUUAGAUACC
rnacentral:rRNA from 1 species